UACGAAGGGGGCUAGCGUUGCUCGGAAUCACUGGGCGUAAAGGGUGCGUAGGCGGGUCUUUUAAGUCAGGGGUGAAAUCCUGGAGCUCAACUCCAGAACUGCCUUUGAUACUGAAGAUCUUGAGUUCGGGAGAGGUGAGUGGAACUGCGAGUGUAGAGGUGGAAUUCGUAGAUAUUCGCAAGAACACCAGUGGCGAAGGCGGCUCACUGGCCCGAUACUGACGCUGAGGCACGAAAGCGUGGGGAGCAAACAGG
rnacentral:rRNA from 1 species